GGAAAAGGAGCAAUCCGCUUUGAGAUGGCCUCGCGUCCGAUUAGCUAGUUGGUGAGGUAACGGCCCACCAAGGCGACGAUCGGUAGCCGGACUGAGAGGUUGAACGGCCACAUUGGGACUGAGACACGGCCCAGACUCCUACGGGAGGCAGCAGUGGGGAAUAUUGCACAAUGGGGGAAACCCUGAUGCAGCGACGCCGCGUGGAGGAAGAAGGUCUUCGGAUUGUAAACUCCUGUUGUUGAGGAAGAUAAUGACGGUACUCAACAAGGAAGUGACGGCUAACUACGUGCCAGCAGCCGCGGUAAAACGUAGGUCACAAGCGUUGUCCGGAAUUACUGGGUGUAAAGGGAGCGCAGGCGGGAAGACAAGUUGGAAGUGAAAUCCAUGGGCUCAACCCAUGAACUGCUUUCAAAACUGUUUUUCUUGAGUAGUGCAGAGGUAGGCGGAAUUCCCGGUGUAGCGGUGGAAUGCGUAGAUAUCGGGAGGAACACCAGUGGCGAAGGCGGCCUACUGGGCACCAACUGACGCUGAGGCUCGAAAGUGUGGGUAGCAAACAGGAUUAGAUACCCUGGUAGUCCACACCGUAAACGAUGAUUACUAGGUGUUGGAGGAUUGACCCCUUCAGUGCCGCAGUUAACACAAUAAGUAAUCCACCUGGGGAGUACGACCGCAAGGUUGAAACUCAAAGGAAUUGACGGGGGCCCGCACAAGCAGUGGAGUAUGUGGUUUAAUUCGACGCAACGCGAAGAACCUUACCAAGUCUUGACAUCCCUUGACGAUGCUGGAAACAGUAUUUCUCUUCGGAGCAAGGAGACAGGUGGUGCAUGGUUGUCGUCAGCUCGUGUCGUGAGAUGUUGGGUUAAGUCCCGCAACGAGCGCAACCCUUAUGGUCAGUUACUACGCAAGAGGACUCUGGCCAGACUGCCGUUGACAAAACGGAGGAAGGUGGGGAUGACGUCAAAUCAUCAUGCCCUUUAUGACUUGGGCUACACACGUACUACAAUGGCGUUAAACAAAGAGAAGCAAGACCGCGAGGUGGAGCAAAACUCAGAAACAACGUCCCAGUUCGGACUGCAGGCUGCAACUCGCCUGCACGAAGUCGGAAUUGCUAGUAAUCGUGGAUCAGCAUGCCACGGUGAAUACGUUCCCGGGCCUUGUACACACCGCCCGUCACACCAUGAGAGCCGGGGGGACCCGAAGUCGGUAGUCUAACCGCAAGGAGGACGCCGCCGAAGGUAAAACUGGUGAUUGGGGUGAAGUCGUAACAAGGUAGCCGUAGGAGAACCUGCGGCUG
rnacentral:rRNA from 1 species